rnacentral:rRNA from 1 species
UACGGGAGGUAGCAGUGGGGAAUAUUGCACAAUGGGCGCAAGCCUGAUGCAGCCAUGCCGCGUGUAUGAAAAAGGCCUUCGGGUUGUAAAGUACUUUCAGUCGUGAGGAAGGUGUUAAGGUUAAUAACCUUAGCAAUUGACGUUAGCGACAGAAGAAGCACCGGCUAACUCCGUGCCAGCAGCCGCGGUAAUACGGAGGGUGCGAGCGUUAAUCGGAAUUACUGGGCGUAAAGGGCACGCAGGCGGUUAAUUAAGUUGGAUGUGAAAUCCCCGGGCUUAACCUGGGAAUGGCAUUCAAGACUGGUUAGCUAGAGUCUUGUAGAGGGGGUAGAAUUCCAUGUGUAGCGGUGAAAUGCGUAGAGAUGUGGAGGAAUACCGGUGGCGAAGGCGGCCCCUGGACAAAGACUGACGCUCAUGUGCGAAAGCGUGGGGAGCAAACAGGGAUUAGAUACC